GACGAACGCUGGCGGCGUGCUUAACACAUGCAAGUCGAACGGAGUUCCUUGGAUAGAGGCUUCGGCCAAUUGAAUUGGAACUUAGUGGCGGACUGGUGAGUAACGCGUGAGGAACCUGCCUUUCAGAGGGGGACAACAGUUGGAAACGACUGCUAAUACCGCAUGACACAUUCGGAUGGCAUCACCUGAAUGUCAAAGAUUUAUCGCUGAAGAUGGCCUCGCGUCUGAUUAGCUAGUUGGUGGGGUAACGGCCCACCAAGGCGACGAUCAGUAGCCGGUCUGAGAGGAUGAACGGCCACAUUGGGACUGAGACACGGCCCAAACUCCUACGGGAGGCAGCAGUGGGGAAUCUUCCGCAAUGGGCGCAAGCCUGACGGAGCAACGCCGCGUGAGUGAAGAAGGCCUCGG
rnacentral:rRNA from 1 species